GCCGACGUAGCUCAAUGGUAGAGCACAUGUUUUGUAAACAUGCGGUUAUCAGUCCGAUUCUGAUCGUCGGCU
rnacentral:tRNA from 1 species